UGACGGGUAACGGGGAAUUAGGGUUCGAUUCCGGAGAGGGAGCCUGAGAAACGGCUACCACAUCUAAGGAAGGCAGCAGGCGCGCAAAUUACCCAAUCCUAAUACAGGGAGGUAGUGACAAGAAAUAACAAUACAGGACUUAAUUGUUUUGUAAUUGGAAUGAGUUAAGUAUAAACCCCUUUACAAGUAUCAAUUGGAGGGCAAGUCUGGUGCCAGCAGCCGCGGUAAUUCCAGCUCCAAUAGCGUAUAUUAAAGUUGUUGCAGUUAAAAAGCUCGUAGUUGGAUUUCUGUUAAUAUUUUAUAUUAUUAAUUUAUUAUUAUUAAUAUAAUAUUAACAUAAUUCAUAUUACUUUUUUUGAGUAUAUGAAAUUUUACUUUGAGAAAAUUAGAGUGCUUAAAGCAGGCAUUUGCCUUGAAUACUCCAGCAUGGAAUAAUAUUAAAGAUUUUUAUCUUUCUUAUUGGUUCUAAGAUAGAAAUAAUGAUUAAUAGGG
rnacentral:rRNA from 1 species